rnacentral:rRNA from 1 species
CACGUAGUUAGCCGGUGCUUCUUUACCCAUUACCGUCACUCACGCUUCGUCACAGGCGAAAGCGGUUUACAACCCGAAGGCCGUCAUCCCGCACGCGGCGUCGCUGCAUCAGGCUUCCGCCCAUUGUGCAAUAUUCCCCA